AUUGAACGCUGGCGGCAUGCUUUACACAUGCAAGUCGAACGGCAGCACGGGUGCUUGCACCUGGUGGCGAGUGGCGAACGGGUGAGUAAUGCAUCGGAACGUAUCCAAUAAUGGGGGAUAACGCACCGAAAGGUGUGCUAAUACCGCAUACGCCCUGAGGGGGAAAGUGGGGGACCGUAAGGCCUCACGUUAAUGGAGCGGCCGAUGCCUGAUUAGCUAGUUGGUGAGGUAAAGGCUCACCAAGGCGACGAUCAGUAGCUGGUCUGAGAGGAAGACCAGCCACACUGGGACUGAGACACGGCCCAGACUCCUACGGGAGGCAGCAGUGGGGAAUUUUGGACAAUGGGCGCAAGCCUGAUCCAGCCAUGCCGCGUGAGUGAAGAAGGCCUUCGGGUCGUAAAGCUAUUUCGCAAGGAAAGAAAACUUAUCCCCUAAUACGGGAUGAGGAUGACGGUACCUUGAUAAGAAGCACCGGCUAACUACGUGCCAGCAGCCGCCGUAA
rnacentral:rRNA from 1 species